AAAAACGUUUCAAAGAUAAUAUAGAUAAAGUUCACACGUGAAGAGCUGCUUUGAUAGAAGUGGCCAAUCUCUUUGGAUUUCAUUUACAAGAUAGGAAUGAGAUAGAAUUUAUCCAAGAUAUUGUGGAAGAGAUAUUUCCUAAAUUAAGUUACAAAUUCCCAAGAUCAGAUACCAGUGAUUUAGUAGGAAUAGAUUCUCGAGUAAAGGAAUUGAUGUCACUUUUGGCUAUACGAUUAAACAAUGUUCGCAUCAUAGGGGUUUGGGGGAUGGGAGGAAUUGGUAAGACAACUCUUGCUAGAUUUGUCUAUCAUAAGAUUUUUAAUUAUUUUGACGGUGGUAGUUUUAUCACUAAUA